AUUGAACGCUGGCGGCAUGCUUUACACAUGCAAGUCGAACGGUAACAGGCCGCAAUGUGCUGUCGAGUGGUGGACGGGUGAGUAAUGCAUCGGCACGUGCCCCGUCGUGGUGGAUAACUACUCGCAAGAGUAGCUAAUACCGCAUACGAUAUAUGGAUGAAAGCGGGGGACCGUAAGGCCUCGCGCGAUUGGUGCGGUCGAUGUCAGAUUAGGUAGUUGGUGGGGUAAAGGCUCACCAAGCCAACGAUCUGUAGCUGGUCUGAGAGGACGACCAGCCACACUGGGACUGAGACACGGCCCAGACUCCUACGGGAGGCAGCAGUGGGGAAUUUUGGACAAUGGGCGCAAGCCUGAUCCAGCAAUGCCGCGUGCAUGAAGAAGGCCUUCGGGUUGUAAACUGCUUUUGUACGGAACGAAACGGCGCUGGUUAAUACCCGGGGCUAAUGACGGUACCGUAAGAAUAAGCACCGGCUAACUACGUG
rnacentral:rRNA from 1 species